GCUGCUUUCCAGGUUUCUCAGCUGUAGUGCAAGUGGGCAUGUGCAAUUGAGACUGUACACCCUAGGUAGCUUUUCUGAGCCUUGGGGAACAAGCUAGCAAGAAAUCUAGGGCUUCUGCUGUUUCUUGUUGCAUCUCUGAAUUCACCAGUGUAGCAGAUUGGAUUCUCUGCAACAACUGCUGAGAUGGAAUUUGAGGAUGAAAGAUGGUUAUUAUGAAUUAACAUCUGUGGAGGGAGACACAGACAGGAUUCAACUCAACUCCAAGUUACUGUGGAGCAAGCAAUGCCCAUUAGGUUUCAGUUGUUUUCAACAGAAGGGCGGGUCCAAGACCAACUCCUCCAUCAGGACCAGAAGAGUUUAAAAAUUUUGGAAGUACAAAAGGCAGCAAGAAACCCAGACCACAGCUUGGAAUGUUUGGCUGUAGACCCUUUCUCAGGUACUGGGGAUUGAACUUGGGACCUUGCACUUGCGUGGCAGGCAGCAGAACCACUGAGCUAAAUCUCCAGCCCAAUGUAACCCAGGCUGGAUUGAACUUUCAACUAUCCUCUUGCUUCAGUCUCCCAAAUGCUGGGAUUACUGGUCUUUGACGGUACUGCCACAUUCCAUAAUCAUAUCUGCAAAAAAGACACAAGUAAAUGGAUCCUGUAUGGAUCUUCAGUUUCAUAUGCUUCUGACAGGUCUCAUCUGAAGUUUGCAAUGAUCUGGAUUGAGAUCUAAUGAUUACUGACUGUUAUCUGAUCACUGUAACAAGGCUACUGAGCCAAGGAAAGUAUCCUUUGACAAGGAUUGGUCAAGAAAACAUCAACAAUGCAGACUGUUCCUAAUAAUAAAACUGUUAUCAUUCCUUGAGUGCUUAAUAUUGGCAGAUCCCACAUACCCAACGUCUGAUUUAAUACUUUCAACAAUUUUAUGAGCCUUGUAGGACAAUCUUUAUUUUACAGAUAGGAAAAUUUCAGUUCACAGAAGUUUGAUAAUUUGCUUAAGAUAUAGCUGAUGAGUGGUUUGUCCCAAGUUUUGAUACCAAACCACAUGCCCUUGUCAUGACACAAAGUUCCCAUUCUUUUUGAGUUCCUUCACAGCUUUAAAUGCUUUCAUAUUAUCACAAUUGGCAAAAUGUGAAGACAUUCUGAAAAAAAACCCCUGCCAUGUUCUGCUCUGUACUUCUGAAAUAGCAGCAGUGGUUGCACAGAGAUCUCACUCUUUGAAGAAAGUCCUCCUUUUGGACCAGUGGACCCUGUGGUGCUGCCUUGCUCUUAUG
rnacentral:lncRNA from 1 species